rnacentral:rRNA from 1 species
GAUAGUUUAACGGAAACGCAGGUGAUAUGAGGGCAGGGUCCAGACAUGUUCAGUAGGUGGGAGUGAGAGGUGUUAUGGGUGGAGGACAAUUUUUAUUAUAUUUCAUCUAAUAGCAAUAGGAUAUGACAGGUGAAAAAGCAAAAGCAAUAGUGCAUUGUGAUGUGGAGAAUAAGGUGCAUACGAUGAAAAAGGUGAUUUGUCAUUUACAAGAGGUAGGUCGAAACAGAACAUGAAAGUUGGUCGGUAGGUGGCAUGCAGAGGUAGUUUCAAGGUGACAGGUUAUGAAGAUAUGGUGCAAAAGACAAAUGGAUGGUGGCAGGCAUAGUAAAAUGAUGGUGUGGAAGACAUAGAUGGUAUUUGUUUUGCAUUUACGGCACCGGAUGCGGGCGAUAAUGACGGGAAGAGAUUUAGUAUGUGGGACAGAAUGUCGGCGGCAGUAUUGAGACCAUGAGAGUAGCAAACGUAAGUCUAAAGGUUGUUUUAUAGUAGUUAGGAUGUAGAAAAUGUAUUCCGAUAGGCCAUUUUACAUUUGGAGGGACGGUUGAAAGUGGACAGAGGAAAAGGUGCGGAAAUGGCUGAUUUUGAUUGUUUAUGUUUUGUGUGAUGAUUUUACAUUUUUGCAUAGUAUUAGGUAGUCAGAUGAAAGAUGAAUAGACAUAGGAGUAAGAAAACAUAGAAUAGUUACCGUUAUUGGUAGGAGUGUGGUGGGGUGGUAUAGUCCGCAUUGGGAUGUUACUUUCCUGUUAUGGCAUGGAUUUCCCUUUAGGGUCUCUGAAGCGUAUUUCCGUCACCGAAAAAGGCAGAAAAAGGGAAACUGAAGGGAGGAUAGUAGUAAAGUUUGAAUGGUGGUAGUGUAAUGUAUGAUAUCCGUUGGUUUUGGUUUCGGUUGUGAAAAGUUUUUUGGUAUGAUAUUUUGCAAGUAGCAUAUAUUUCUUGUGUGAGAAAGGUAUAUUUUGUAUGUUCCCGCGCGUUUCCGUAUUUUCCGCUUCCG